ensembl:lncRNA family with sequence similarity 163 member A
AUGCUCCCGGCCAGCGCGUGCUUUCGAAGGCGCCUCCGAAGCCGGGUAAGCGCGCCCCUGGAUCGCCGCCCUCUGCCGAUCCCUAUCUUGGCCUUGGCCGUGGCCAUGCCCUGCUGGCUCUGGGCACCCGCUCGCCUCUCCCUCUCGGCCCCAGAGCAGCUCCCUCCGAGGAGGUGGGGGUGGGGAGUGGGGGGAAUGUCUCCGGCUUCGUGGCCAGGCCCCCGGGUCCUGAGGUCCCCGCCCCGGGGCGGGCCUUGCCGGGUCCCUGCCCGCGGCCGCACGUCCGCCGCCCGCCUCGGCUUGGCCUCGCCGACCUGCUCCGCGGCGCUUUCCGCCCGGCGGGACCCCCACACGGACGCGGCUCCUGCGCCUUGGCGCACGCGAGCUCCCAGGGACCAUGCGGCUGCCCCGGCCCGCGACACGGCUGGCCGCGAGGUCUGGCCCGGCGCGCGAACUGAUGCCCUUGGCCAUGAUGCGCCCCCAGCUGCUAUCUGUUCAGGCACAGCCGGCGUGACUCGGCUGUCACUGAUCCAGCUGUUCACGUCACCGUUCCCUUUAUGAACAGUUUGAUGGGGCGUCGGGCGGAUGACAGCGGGAACAGUUGUGAUCACUGGCGGAAUCCUAGCUACGGUCAUCCUCCUCUGCAUCAUUGCCGUCCUGUGCUACUGUAGGCUCCAGUAUUACUGCUGCAAGAAGAGCAGAGCGGAGGAUGCAGACGAGGAAGGGGAGGAGGAGCACGACCUGCCCACACACCCCAGAGGCCCCGCCUGCAAUGCCUGCAGCUCCCAGGCUCUGGACGGCCGAGGCAGCCUGGCGCCCGUCCCCGGCGAGCCCUGCGGCCAGCCGUGCAGGGUGGCGGCCGGCCACUGCACCGCCUGCUCCCCAUACAGCUCCCCCUUUUACAUACGGACGGCUGACAUGGUGCCCAACGGGGGCGGAGGCGAGAGGCUCUCCUUUGCUCCCACCUACUACAAGGAGGGGGGACCCCCAUCUCUCCAAGUGGCAGCGCCCCAGAGUUACCCGGUGACGUGGCCAGGCUCUGGGCGCGAGGCCUUCACCAAUCCAAGGGCUAUUAGUACAGACGUGUAACCCCUUUCACCCCUGACCCGCCCCCAACACACACCAACAUGGCUGCUCCCCACCCAGGAUCAUCAAUGGGGACAGUGGACGACCCCUCCCACAGCCUGCAAGGACCUUCUCAGUUUUUCUGGCUCUCCUUGCCCCACAGUGGAAGGCUCACCUGGAUUCAGGCUGUUGAGGGCACUGAGAACCAGGGCAGGGGCUGGCCCCAUGGCCCAGAGGAAGGGGGCCUGACAGGUCAUGUUGGCAGCCUGGCCGGUGUCUCUGCUGGGACUUUUCUCCGGCCAGGCCAGCGUGGCCACAGCCCUCACACUUACCUCUGUCCCCUGGCUUUGCCAGACUCUGAGGAGACGAGCAGGAGCCCAGGGAAAGCUAAGCAAGGGCUCCGGAGGUCUCCAGAGUCCUUGGGGGAUGAAAGGAGAAAGUCGGGGGUGAGGGCAAGGGGAGAGGCCAGACCUGAGGCCUUGGCAGAACUCGAGAAGGGUGGGCAAGGAUUGAAGGGCUUUUUCGGGACCUGCUUGCCACAAUGAAUCCAGGAGCUAGUUCACCAUCUCGUUUUGUACUUCAGCUUCCUAGAGACUGCAGUUCCGGUAGCUGUUCCAACACAGAUGCUACUUCCUGAGCACGCUUGUAUUUGCCCCCAUCCUCACGGAACAUAGCGACUAGACUUUAAAGGCCGUGGCAUGAGGUUAUUUGCAGGGAAUGCACCCAACAUGGAUGUCUAGCCUUGUCUCCCCACAAAUCCUCUUUCUCUGCCUUGGGAACCAGCUAUCCCGGCUGUUGAAACUUUUCCAAGUUUUGUUACUAGAGUUUGAGUAGCUUAGUGAGGGAGAGCCUGCCGAUGGUGUCUGGGGCCCUGGUCCACCACGCUGAGUGUGGUGCCUCGAUGCGGCCCUGCAAGGACCUGUGCAUUCCCAGGUGUAUACACACACACAUCUGUCACCACCAAGUGUGUACAAACAUCACCACCUGGUGUGUGUGCACACACACACACACGCCUGUUACCACCAGGUGUGUGCACACAUACCACCAUCACCAGCGCUCACCAGGGCUCUGCCACCUUCAGGAACCGCAGAGCAGAAGAGUGAUGUGGCAGCUAGAAAGUCAGCCUCCAGACAGCAGGAGUGACAGGUGAUCAGGGUGGCAGCCACAGCAGCCACUGAUGGGUACAGGAAGCGCCUGCGGAGUCUCCCGUGAAACGAUCCUGCCACGUGGAAGCCCCUCCAGAGACCCAGUAUCCUACCUGGGCAUCCAGCCGUGAGGCCGUAGACCAGCACCCCAUCUUCCCAUCAGGGAUGGCAGCGCUGGCUCCGAGGAUGGGAGCAGAUUUGACUCAGCAAUCAGAUUCCACGCUGGCCACCCUCCCUCUGCUGACCCAACCCUCAGUCUCUGAACGAAGGCCUGUUUAUUGCUGGGUCGCUCCAGCCCCAAGUCCAGAUCCCAGAUAUAACUCAGCUGUGGCCUUAUGCUGUUUGUGUGGCUGCAUCUGAUGAGUGUCCCAGUUGAUGUAAGGGAUGGCUGCCCACCCUCUCCUAAGGGCAUUAGUAACCCCCAGCCUCUCUUGAGUCAUUGCAGUGUGUGGGACAAGAAGGGAGCAGGCCCCUUGGCCAAUUUUUGCUGAAUUUUGAUUUUUGCAUCUGAGAAAGGGAGGGUGCAGCUGGGGGAGGCAUGAAGGGGAAGAGAAUUCGCCACACCUUUGCAUCCCUCUGGGCACUUCUCACCUUGCAUCUCAAUCUGGAAUCAAGGCUAACUGGGUUGAGAACCAGAGGACCUAGGGUCUGGUCACAUUUGGGUUACUCUGGGUCCUCUGAGGACCGGUCCCUUAUCUCCUCUGAGACCCCAUUUCCUCCAGGGAAAUGGGACUCGCCCAGAUGGACUCUGAAGGCCCUUUAGUGCUCCAGGAAACCAGGAUUCCCCGAAAAGUCCUGCCAGCCAGACCACUCUCUCUCACCCUAGUCCUGGCAGGGGGCUGGAUACACUUUCCAACUGCCUGAUCCCGUGUGCACGGAUGCAUGUUGAUGGAUCCAAGACCACAGUACAUUGCAGGGUUAGCUGGCAAAACAAUUUUAACAUCAGAAAAAAGCCAACACGUUUGACCCUCCUACUGGGUGACUUCAAGUUCUCUGCUACUAGGAAGCAGCUUUCAGUGGGGGUAAUCAGCUCUGUCUCCCAGAGCCCAGAGGGACCAGCUUAGGGACAGUGGCUUUCACAUCCCCACACCCAUCCCACUGACAGCCCUUCCUGGGCUAAGCACACCCGUUGAUGUGAGCUGCUAGGCCUGGCCACCCUAGCUCUUCCUGAUGGCCAGCCCCAGUGUCUUGCUGCCAUGGGAUUCCACAGUUGCACAACCACAUCAGGGGCUGUCCCUCCUCACCCCCAAAAUUCUAGUACCUCCCACCUUCAGAGAAGUCAAGACCCAGUCAACUCUUAACGUGCUUCUUGGCCCUCAUUCUUUGAGAUCCUGGAGUGAAAAGCAUCUUCGUGCAGUCCCUCUCUCCUCCCAGAGCUUCCCCAGCCUCAGUCAACCCACAAGUCAACAUCUGAGUUUGGGGCAUUGGAGAGAUGGUGGCCGCGGCUCCCCCUGCCCCGACUGCGCAACGCUGCUCCGGGCACAGCCUCGAGGUUGCCCGCCAGCCUCCCAGCAGCUGCAAGGACCUUGCCUGUGGAAGAGGAAGCUCACCCCACUCCACUGCACUGUACUUUUUGGCCACCGAGUCUGUGCUCUGGGACACUGUUUGGACACUUUUCAAACUGCACCCUAAAGAGGAAGCGGAGAGACAGAGACCCCUGCUCCCGCCAACUUUUCUCUCCACUUCACUGCUCCUGCUACAGAAUUCUUGCCCUGCAUCUUUGAUAACUUGGAGUCACAACCAAGCAAAUGUCCAAAAUAAAGGAGAAAUUUGAAAUAG